rnacentral:tmRNA from 2 species
GGGGACGCGUGGUUUCGACGGGAGAUUUCUUGACGGGAUUGCAGGUCGGGGUGUCAUCUAACCUCGUUAUAAAGAUGACAAAAAAAGUAACUGGCAAUAAUCAAAAGCUAGCUUUAGCCGCUUAAUUCGGCUACGUUUCGCAGAUUGUUUCCCAAACUUUCUGUAGAGGCGACGAUAUUUGGGAUGCUGUUAUCUAGACUUCGAUAUAGAUAGCUUAAGUAAAAUCGAAUAGUUGUUGGUUCCAUUUUCUGAUCUAGGAGCAAAUAGCGAAAUUUUAGACCAGAUAAGCCUGUAGAUGUUCUGGCACAAGGAUCUUGUGGACGGGGAGUUCGACUCUCCCCCGUCUCCACCA